UGUUCUCCACAAUCAUCAUCAUUAUCAUAAUGAGCACUGUAAACUUCUUCACUCUCGGAAUAAAGAUGAAUUUUAGAUCAAUAGCAGCAGAUAUUUGUGGUUUCACAAUUUCUAUCCUCUUCUUAGUGCAUUACAUAGAAAAAUUGAUCAUGUGUAAAGCUCAAAGCAGAAACAUCUAUGCCCCACAUGCAUUUUAAAAAUUAAUUUUCAUGUUCACAGGUAUUCAUUCUUAUUUUUACUUUUUACAGGUACCUUCUUUAUUGAGUGCACAGAAACCGCGUCAGUUCUUCAAAAUGCUACAUGCAAUUCCCUUGUUCUUCUGGAUGAAUUGGGCAGAGGAACAAGCACUUUUGAUGGAUAUGCUAUUGCAUAUGCUGUAUUCCAACACCUUAUAGAGACGGUGAACUGCCGCUUAUUGUUUGCCACGCAUUAUCAUCCACUCACUAAAGAGUUUGCUUCUCAUCCUAAUGUGACAUUACAACACAUGGCCUGCUCUUUCAAGUUGAAAUCUCAAAGUUCAUCUCCAACAGAACAAGAGCUGGUGUUCCUUUACCGUCUAGCCUCUGGAGCAUGCCCUAUUUGAUACAUUGUAUUGCUUGUGGCAUGAACUAAAGUUGAUAGAUCCUUUACUGCAUGAAGAAUGGUUCAAGACACUUCUAGAAAUCUCAAAGACAGAUGGUGAAGUUAACGAUGACCUAUUUGAUACAUUGUAUUGCUUGUGGCAUGAACUAAAGUUGAGAGAUCCACUAGCUGAAGAUGUUAGUCUUUGAGUUAUCUUGUAUAUUCGUGAAACUCUUCAGUGGGAAAUGCCGAUGAGAUUAUGAUACUAACUGGAAGGUAGGAAAGCUUAUUGUUGGAGUUUGUAUUAUGUUGUCUGUUCUAUAAGAGAAGCAAGGUUAGUAAAUACUUUGCUUUAUGGAAAGAGGCAAAAGAAACUGCAAUGUUGUAAAAUUGUCCUAUACUCCAAGAGAAUCUUUGCCGUUAUGGUUGCUUGAUGAAGAGUUAAUAUGGAGUGAAUAGAAUGUUAAGAAAUUAAUUGAA